rnacentral:rRNA from 1 species
CGGCGAGUGACCGGGAUCCCUUGCUCAGACCGGAAUCCCCUCGGGGAGUUGUAGUCUAUGGACUGUCUUACUUGGCCCACCGCACUAGCAAAGUCCCUUGGAAUAGGGCGCCAGAGAGAGUUAUAGCCUCGUCGCGCUAGUGCAGAAGCCUCUAUGUAGUCAGCUCUGAGAGUCGGGUUGUUUGGGAAUGCAGCCCUAAGCGGGAGGUACACACCUUCUAAAGCUAAAUAUUCAGGCAAGAGACCGAUAGCGAACAAGUACCGUGAGGGAAAGUUGAAAAGCACUCUGGAGAGAGAGUGAAAAGCGCGUGAAACCAUUAGUAGGGAACCGCUUGCACGGUGCACUAUAGGGCCAUUGCCUCGGCAGUGGCCCUUGCCCAGGACCAGUUUGGGUUUUCGGCUGGAGAAGCCGGCGGCAAAGGUAGCUGCUCCCUCGGGGGCAGUGUUAUAGAGCCGUCGGCACUGCAGCCGCCCGGACUGAGGAUCGCGACAUCCCCCCUCGUGGGGGCGCCAGGCGGCGGAGGCCAGGCGUGUUUUGGUUGCUAGACAGCGUGCUGACUAGCGGGCAACUCGCGCUUGCCACCUGCGUCGCUCUGGUUAUUGUCACAGGCCCUGGGAUGCGCCGAACAAUCGACCCGUCUUGAACACGGACCAAGGAGUCUAACUUGUGCGCGAGUCACUGGGUUGCUAACCCACGGGCGUAAUGAAAGUGAGCCGAAAGGCCUGGUACGAUCCGCAAUCAUGCGGUGCAGUAUCCGCCGGCCACCCGCCGUUUACCGGCUAGUGGACUGAGCGCGAGCGCAUAGGCUAGGACCCGAAAGAUGGUGAACUAUACUUGGGUAGGGCGAAACCAGAGGAAACUCUGGUGGAGGCUCGCAGCGGUUCUGACGUGCAAAUCGAUCGUAAAACCUGAGUAUAGGGGCGAAAGACUAAUCGAACCAUCUAGUAACUGGUUCCCGCCGAAGUUUCCCUCAGGAUAGCCGGCACAAACAAACAGUUCUAUGGGGUAGAGCGAAUGAUUAGAGGCCUUGGGGCUGUAACAGCCUCAACCUAUUCUCAAACUUCCAAUCUGUAGGAAGCCCCUGCUAUUUAAUUAAGCAGACUGGGCGAAUUGAAUGACUUGUGCUGAGUGGGCCAUUUUUGGUAAGCAGAACUGGCGCUGCGGGAUGAACCGAACGGGGAGAUACGGUGCCGGAGGGCACGCUCAUGUAGAUACCACAAAAGGUGUUGGUUCAUAUAGACAGCAGGACGGUGGCCAUGGAAGUCGGAAUCCGCUAAGGAGUGUGUAACAACUCACCUGCCGAAUGAACUAGCCCUGAAAAUGGAUGGCGCUUAAGCGUGCUACCUAUACUCCCCCGCCAGAAAGGUAUGGAUUUUCUGGCGAGUAGGCGGGCGUGGGGGUGUAUUAAGCUGCGAAGGCCUGGGCGUAAGCCUGGCUUGAGCCGCCCCUAGUGCAGAUCUUGGUGGUAGUAGCAAAUAUUCAAGUGAGAGCCUUGAAGACUGAAGUGGAGAAAGGUUCCCAGUUAACAGCAGUUGGACUGGGGUGAGCCGUUCCUAAGGGCUAGGCAAACGCCCACAUAUUAUCUGUGUGUCCGAAAGGGAAGCUGGUUAACAUUCCAGCGCUUGGACCGUGGUGCCCGGGUGGCAACACAAGGGAAUCUGGAGACGCCGGCAUAGUCCCCCAGGAGAGUUUUCUCUUCUCUUUAACGCUAGUGGUGGCCUCGGAAUCAGCUUAUCUGGAGAAGAGGCGGCCUCGGCGGUAGAGCAGGGCCACUUUGGCUUCCUGUUGGGAGCGGCUAUUACGGCCCGUGAAAAUCCAGAGGACCACCCUCCGCAAGGGGGGGGCACUCACGCCAAGACGUACUCAUAACCGCAGCAGGUCUCCUAGGUGAACAGCCUCUAGUUGAUGGAACAAUGUAAGUAAGGGAAGUCGGCAAAUUGGAUCCGUAACUUUGGGACAAGGAUUGGCUCUAAGGGUCGGGCGCAGGUAGGCCUUGGUAUACUUUGCGCGUGGCGCUGGCUUGGGAGUGCCGGCCGGGAUGGACUUUCGGGUCUGCCUGGCUGGGGUUCCUGGGCCGUAUGCUGCGCGCCGAGUGCUUCGGUUUAGCCUCCGGGCUUUAGCUCCUGCGCAAUUAACGACCAGCUUAGAACUGGUACGGACAAGGGGAAUCUGACUGUCUAAUUAAAACAUAGCAUUGCGAUGGCCGGAGAACGGUGUUGACGCAAUGUGAUUUCUGCCCAGUGCUCUGAAUGUCAUUGUGAAGAGAUUCAACCAAGCGCGGGUCAACGGCGGGAGUAACUAUGACUCUCUUAAGGUAGCCAAAUGCCUCGUCAUCUAAUUAGUGACGCGCAUGAAUGGAUCAACGAGAUUCCCACUGUCCCUACUUACUAUCUAGCGAAACCACAGCCAAGGGAACGGGCUUGGCAGAAUCAGCGGGGAAAGAAGACCCUGUUGAGCUUGACUCUAGUUAGACAUGGUCGAGCGACAUGGGGGGUGUAGAAUAAGUGGGAGACGCAAGUCGCCGGUGAAAUACCACUACCUCCAUUGUCGCUCUACUUAUCUGGUGCAAAGGGAACUGCGCAAGCAGGCUUUUAGCAUUAAUCUCCUUCGGGAGAGACCCUGGUCAGUGACAUUGUCUGAUGGGGAGUUUGGCUGGGGCGGCACAUCUGUUAAACAAUAACGCAGGUGACCAAAGGGGGGCUCAACGAGAACAGAAAUCUCGCGUAGAGCAAAAGGGCAAAUGCCCCCUUGAUUGGGACCUUCAGUGUGGGUACCAACCGUGAAAGCGUGGCCUAUCGAUCCUUUAGAUUACUCCGCGGUGUGUGCGGCUAGAGGUGUCAGAAAAGUUACCACAGGGAUAACUGGCUUGUGGCAGCCAAGCGUUCAUAGCGACGUUGCUUUUUGAUCCUUCGAUGUCGGCUCUUCCUAUCAUUACGAAGCAGAAUUCGUAAAGCGUUGGAUUGUUCACCCAAUAAUAGGGAACGUGAGCUGGGUUUAGACCGUCGUGAGACACGGUUAGUUUUACCCUAUMUGAUGAGUUUGGCGCUGCGACAGUAGUAGAAUUCAGUACGAGAGGAACCGUUCUACCGGAUACUUGGUAUUUGCCCUUGCCAGCGCA